UUUGAUAGGACGCAACUAGGUGCCCUUUUGAUAAAGGGAUAAUAGGGAAUCGGGUGAAAAUCCCGAGCGGUCCCGCCACUGUAACCGAGGAGUUCUCUUUCACGCAUGCCACUCGAUAAGUAUCGGGGAAGACGAAAGAGCGCAUUGAUCCGGAAGCCAGGAGACCUGCCUAGCUUGCCGCACCAGA
rnacentral:ncRNA from 1 species